GAUAUCAAGUAGAUGAUGUUCUUCUUGUGCUGUUCAUGGCAAAGGGCAGUAGUGUUUGCUUUAUUAUAUAACUGAGGAAAAUGCUGCUACGGCCUCGCCACUAUCACUUUGUCUCAUCCUCUUGACGUUGUCCAUACCAGGUUCCAAGUUUAUGAUGGAAGAAUCUCCAAUGUCCCUACUUAUAGGAAUACUCCUCACGCUUUAUUUUCCAUUGCUCUAAGUGAGUCAAACACAGUUGCAUAUGAUGAAGGCCGGGAUCUUGAGUUAAAGAAAGAACUGUUUCUUGGUGAUGCUCUUUCUGAUCUCCCUUCGAAAGGUGGUGUCGAUACCAAGUAGACGAUGUUCUUCUUGUGCUGUUCAUGGCAAAGGGCACUAGUGUUUGCUUUAUUAUAUAAUUGAGGAAAAUACCACUGCGGCCUCGCCACUGUCACUUUCUUUCAUCCUCUUGAUGUUGUCCGUACCAGGUUCCAAGUUUAUGAUGGAAGAAUCUCCAAUAUCCCCGCUUAUAGGAAUACUCCUCAUGCUUUAUUUGCCAUUGCUUGAAGUGAGGUUUGUUUUUUUGAAACUUGUCGAUUUCUGCAAAUAUUAUUAAAGGUUGUUCAAAAAAGAAGUUACUUUUCCAUUCAUAUAGGUGGUAGCUCUGGUGAAAGAAAACUCAUAU